rnacentral:rRNA from 1 species
AAUCGCGGAUCAGAAUGCCGCGGUGAAUACGUUCCCGGGUCUUGUACACACCGCCCGUCACACCAUGGGAGUCGGAAAUGCCCGAAGUCGGUGACCCAACCGCAAGGAGGGAGCCGCCGAAGGCAGGUCCGGUAACUGGGGUGAAGUCGUAACAAGGUAGC